CAGAACUUUCCAGAGAUGGAUUGGUGCCUUCGGGAACUGUGAGACAGGUGCUGCAUGGCUGUCGUCAGCUCGUGUUGUGAAAUGUUGGGUUAAGUCCCGCAACGAGCGCAACCCUUAUCCUUUGUUGCCAGCGGUCCGGCCGGGAACUCAAAGGAGACUGCCAGUGAUAAACUGGAGGAAGGUGGGGAUGACGUCAAGUCAUCAUGGCCCUUACGACCAGGGCUACACACGUGCUACAAUGGCGCAUACAAAGAGAAGCGACCUCGCGAGAGCAAGCGGACCUCAUAAAGUGCGUCGUAGUCCGGAUUGGAGUCUGCAACUCGACUCCAUGAAGUCGGAAUCGCUAGUAAUCGUGGAUCAGAAUGCCACGGUGAAUACGUUCCCGGGCCUUGUACACACCGCCCGUCACACCAUGGGAGUGGGUUGCAAAAGAAGUAGGUAGCUUAACCUUCGGGAGGGCGCUUACCACUUUGUGAUUCAUGACUGGGGUGAAGUCGUAACAAGGUAACCGUAGGGGAACCUGCGGUUGGAUCACCUC
rnacentral:rRNA from 1 species